rnacentral:tRNA from 1 species
GCCUUCGGGGUGUAAUGGUCAGCAUGAUGGGCUCGUAUUCGAGAUGUCUGUGGUUCGAGUCCCAGCGAAGGCA